rnacentral:lncRNA from 1 species
AGGGAAGCUUGGUUAAAAACAGUUAUGGCAGUGGGAGUCGAAGCGAGGGUCUGAAGUUCACGACUACUAGAAGGGGAGGGGAGUGGAAAGGCUCUCAGUGAAAAAGGUAUGGAACCCUUCAGAUCAAAGCUUACCAAUAAAUUCAGUAUGUAGAACAGAUUAACGUAGUUGAAAUGAGGAAGAAUGAGAGUUAUCUCAACCAGCCAGCACCCCCUAUCCCCAUUCCCACACUUUCCCUCAUGGGAGGCUGUCGGGAGCACUUCGAAAACCACUGGAAAGGCCGGGCACGGUGGCUCAUGCCUGUAAUCCCAGCACUUUGGGAGGCCAAGGCAGGCAGAUCACCUGAGGUCAGGAGUUCGAAACCAGCCUGGCCAACAUGGCGAAACCCCAUCUUUACUAAAAAUACGAAAAUUAGCCAGGUAUUAGAAUUAUUUCUGAAUUAUCAGUCUCUCAUUUGUGCUUUGGAGAAGCAGAAAAGGCAAAAGGGGUCUUUGGCCAUCUUCUGCUGGAGCUUCCAGGGAGGAUGUGUCUCCAAGAGACCAGAUGUACCGAGUUUGAAAUCCCAGAAGCCCAAGAGGAAAAGAAUCACAGGGAGGAAAAGACUGUCCAAAGGCUUCUGGAGUCUUCUGUUCUCUAACCUUGGAAGGUUUUGAACAAUAUUUCUCAGAGGAUAGCCUUUCACUUAUUCAUCUGUCCAGCAUGACUCAUCCCCGGGAGUGUUGAGUAAGUGAAAUUUUGCUGUAUUCAUGUUUUUGUGACUUAUAAAAUAGGAUGAUAAGGAGAGAACAUGAACUCUGGAGUCAGACCUGUUACCUCGGACAUGAUACUCUUAGCUUUGUCAUUUAGUAUUUGAGUAAUUUUGGGCAAGCUAACAUCUCUGGUCGUUCUCAUCUGUAAAAUGAGAAUAAAUGAAACCCACUAACCAGAAUUGGUAUGAAAAUGAAAUGUGGCAGAAAAAAAAUGAAAGUGAAUAGUAUCACCACUGACACACAAGCACUAAAGGCCCUUCCUGUCUCCAUCAGGUAUGGAUUUGGGGCAACAUUUGGCCAGGUCUUGUUUAUCUUUCUGUUCAUCUAUUCUGUCUAAUUCAGUGCUUUGUUUACAACGAAUGUCUUACAAAUGCUGACUGAACACUAGCAUACCUGCAUGAACAACAGGUAAAUAAAUUUUAGAUGUGUUUUAAUGUUUAUUAAUCUAUCCUGUCAGAGAAGAACUGCCAGUUAUAGAUAAAUAUGAUGCCAGGUCAGGGCUGAAGAGUUGGGCAGGUUGUUAUCUGCAUGGGGUCACUAGGUUCCAGUGGAGAGGUGGGGGCUAAGCUCUCACCCGCUCUGCAGCCACCUGGCACCCGGUUUCAGUUUCCUGAAAGGGAGCCUUCUACUUGCUGACGACUGCCUCAUCUCUUCUGAGGUUUCCUCUGAUAAACAAUUUUCUCUGCUUUUUUUUUUUAAUUAUGAAAUACUUAAAAUGUAAAGGAGAUAAUGUGACACACAUUUACCCAUAAUUGAGAUUGCCAUAAUUGCUAUAACUUUUUCAAAAUUUUGACUUAAUUUCAGACUUUUAGAAAAAUUGGCCAGGUGUGAUGGCUCAUGCCUGUAAUCCCAGCACUUUGGGAGGCCAAGGUGGGUAAAUUACUUGAACCCAGCAGUUCGAGACUUGCCUGGGCAACAUAGUGAGACCUUGUCUCUACUGAAAACAAACUAAAAAAAAAAUUAGCCAACCAUGGUGGUGCAUGCCUGUAGUCCUAGCUACUCGGGAAGCUGAGGCAAGAGGAUAGCCUGAGCCCAGGGGAGUUGGGGCUGAAGCCUGGGUGACAGAGGAAGACCUUGCCUUCAAAAAAACAAAAAAAAAGAAAAGAAAUUCUUUAUAUUACAAAGAAUUCCCAUAUACCUUCCACAGUUUCCCAAAUGUUAAUAUUUUCCCACAUUUGCUUUAUCCUUGUCUCUUGAUAUUACAUAUGCUGGUUAUAUUUUUCUGAACCAUUUAGGAGAAAUUUGCAUACAUGAUGACUGUUUCCUCCUAAAUACUCCAGUUCUUAUUUUCUAAAAAUAAGGACAUUCUCUUACACAACCACAGAACAAUUAUCAAAAGCUUGGAAACUAACAUUGAUACAAUACUUUAAUCUACAUACCUCAUUCAGAUUUCACCAGUUGUCCUAAUAAUGUAAUAAAAUUAUUUCUGGAUUAUGUCUAUCUCAUUUAUAGUAAAAGAAAAUCCUGGAUCAUGCAUUGCA